AGUGUUCCAACCACAUGGCCAGAGAGAGAAUCGGGAAGAGGGAGGGAAGAAGUGAUAUGGAAAGCCAUGGAGAAAAACAAAGGGUCCUGUGUUCAGGAAUUUGCCCGCGUACUGACUCAAUCAAUACUUAACGUGGGUAAAAAGGAACCUCUCACCAAGACUGCAUUCCACAUGGACUUAUUACACGGACAAUACAUCUCCUGCAGCUGUCCCCAAGAGAUGGAGAUGGAACAGAAGACAACCAGCUAUCUACAGGAUUUCUUUCAUGUGGGCCUGUUUACAAGAAAGAUUUUUUCUCUGCGGCGCAGCACGCUCGAGUUUUUCCUCACAUGACGUUAGCCCUCACCCGGUUGCCAGAAUCCAUGAAAGAAGUGGUGCUCUGUGCCAGCUUGCUGCUGCAAUAUUCUCUAACUCCGGAUCAAUGGAUCCGAGCUAAUCUGUCAAACCGAGCAGGCCGCCUCAAGACUCCUUCACCCGCUGUACGUUUUCCCCCCCCCCCAAAAAAGGUCCUCACAGUUUUCCCCCAAAACAUUGAUACGAUUAACAAGAGACAUGGCGUGUAAACAAGUAGCAGAACUGGGUCAAGGAUAUCACACAGCCACCGCAUCCCCGAUCCUGCUGCGCAGUACCUGGGAGCUCCACCGGGAGCCGCUGCCGAUCCAUCUGUGCUGUUAGUGAGAGGCAGAAGAAGGGAAAAGACAGUGUGUGUGUGUGUGGGUCCGUGUGUUUGUGUGUGUGGUAGGGGGGGGGGGCAAGAGGGGAGGUGAAAAAGAUCUCAAUGUAUUAGAUCAGCUACCCCACUGGUUUUGUAUACCGACAGCUGUGCUCCAUAACCCAUUUAGACGAGAUUAAAAGUCCAAACAUAUCAACAAAUAGACAAUCUGCACAUUUUUGUUCAGUCAUACAGCCCCCGCCCCCCCCCCCGGCUCCCCCCCCCCC
ensembl:lncRNA